CCACUCACCACCAGGCUGGCCUUCUGGCCAUAAAAGGUUAAACGACUACUAGUAAUGACUUCACCUCUCAGCAAGGAGUAACAGCCAGCUCCUCACGAAGACACUCGACCCCUUUCUAGCUGCUGCCACUUCAGAGCAAGAAACUCUAAGCUGCUAUUUCACAGUCAUGCACGGAUGUGAGACUUGGACCAUGAAGAAGGCUGAGCACCAAAGAACUGAUGCUUUCAAAUUGUGGUCCUGGAGAAGACUUUUGGACUGCAAGUAGAUCAAACCAGUCAAUCCUAAAGGAAAUCAACCCUGAAUAUUCAUUGGAAGGACUGAUGCUGAAGCUGUAGCUCCAAUACUCUGGCCACCUGAUGCAAACAGCCAACUUAUUGAAAAAGACCCUGUUACUGGGAAGGACAGAAGGCAAAAGAAGGAGGUGGAAGAGGAUGGUUAGGUGGUUAGAUGGCGUAACAGACUCAAUGGACAUGAAUUUGAGCCAACUCUGGGAUAUAGUGAAGGACAGGGAAGCCCGGCAUACUGCAGUUCAUGGAGUCACAAAGAGUUGGACACAACUUAGUGUCUGAACAACCACAGAAGUAGGAAGAAAUCUGAAAGAACUAGGUGGUACGAGAUGACGGAAGGUCCCUGUGGCAUUCUAUUACUAAUCCACAAGAUUUUCUGUCCCUCCCUUCCCUCUUGAAGGCAGUCUUGGUUUGGCUGACUGUUCUGACCAGCAAAAUAUAAGAAGUAAAACACAUCACUUUCUAGUGGAGACUUCAAGACCAGCAGGAACUUUGCUAUGCUCCUUGACAUCAAGCCACAGGUGAGCCCUAAGGGAACUCAGGAUGGAGACAAAUGAGCUGCCCCCUGCCAAGUCCUUAGCCACUGCACCCACCUCAAAGGCACACUUAAGGGGACUCAGCAAGGGAAAGAACAGGACACUAGCCCUAGAUAGCUAAGAUGCAUAACAAUGAGCCCAGACUCUUAAAUCUUCUCGUGCAGAGAAAAUUCAUUAACUUGAGAUAUCUGGUUUUCUUUGUUGUUGUUCAGUUGCUCAGUCAUGUCCUAUUCUUUGCAACCCCAUGGACUGCAGCACACCAGGCUUCCCUAUCCUUCACCAUCUCCCAGAACUUGCCCAAACUCAUGUCCAUCGA
ensembl:lncRNA